CACGUAGGGUCCGAGCGUUGUCCGGAAUUACUGGGCGUAAAGCGUGCGCAGGCGGUUGGGUCAGUCGCUGGUGAAAGCCCCACGCUCAACGUGGGAAUGGCCAACGAGACGGCCCGACUGGAGGCAGGGAGAGGCCGGUGGAAUUCCGGGUGUAGUGGUGAAAUGCGCAGAUAUCAGGAAGAACACCCGUGGCGAAGGCGGCUCUCUGGUACGUGACUGACGCUGAGACGCGAAAGCGUGGGGAGCAAACAGG
rnacentral:rRNA from 1 species